rnacentral:rRNA from 1 species
AAGUCGAACGAGUUCUCGUUGAUGAUCGGUGCUUGCACUGAGAUUCAACAUGGAACGAGUGGCGGACGGGUGAGUAACACGUGGGUAACCUGCCCUUAAGUGGGGGAUAACAUUUGGAAACAGAUGCUAAUACCGCAUAGAUCCAAGAACCGCAUGGUUCUUGGCUGAAAGAUGGCGUAAGCUAUCGCUUUUGGAUGGACCCGCGGCGUAUUAGCUAGUUGGUGAGGUAAUGGCUCACCAAGGCGAUGAUACGUAGCCGAACUGAGAGGUUGAUCGGCCACAUUGGGACUGAGACACGGCCCAAACUCCUACGGGAGGCAGCAGUAGGGAAUCUUCCACAAUGGACGCAAGUCUGAUGGAGCAACGCCGCGUGAGUGAAGAAGGCUUUCGGGUCGUAAAACUCUGUUGUUGGAGAAGAAUGGUCGGCAGAGUAACUGUUGUCGGCGUGACGGUAUCCAACCAGAAAGCCACGGCUAACUACGUGCCAGCAGCCGCGGUAAUACGUAGGUGGCAAGCGUUAUCCGGAUUUAUUGGGCGUAAAGCGAGCGCAGGCGGUUUUUUAAGUCUGAUGUGAAAGCCCUCGGCUUAACCGAGGAAGCGCAUCGGAAACUGGGAAACUUGAGUGCAGAAGAGGACAGUGGAACUCCAUGUGUAGCGAUGAAAUGCGUAGAUAUAUGGAAGAACACCAGUGGCGAAGGCGGCUGUCUGGUCUGUAACUGACGCUGAGGCUCGAAAGCAUGGGUAGCGAACAGGAUUAGAUACCCUGGUAGUCCAUGCC